GAGUUUGAUCAUGGCUCAGGAUGAACGCUGGCGGCGUGCCUAAUACAUGCAAGUCGAGCGAGAAUCUGAACGACGGAGACUUCGGUCAAAGGAAUUCAGAGGAAAGCGGCGGACGGGUGAGUAACGCGUGGGCAACCUGCCCCAUACAGAGGGAUAGCAGUUGGAAACGACUAUUAAUACCUCAUACUCCGGUUUUAUCGCAUGAUAGAACCGGGAAAGAUUUAUCGGUAUGGGAUGGGCCCGCGUCUGAUUAGCUAGUUGGUGAGGUAACGGCUCACCAAGGCGACGAUCAGUAGCCAACCUUAGAGGGUGAUUGGCCACACUGGAACUGAGACACGGUCCAGACUCCUACGGGAGGCAGCAGUAGGGAAUAUUGGGCAAUGGGGGCAACCCUGACCCAGCAACGCCGCGUGAACGAUGAAAAUCUUCGGAUUGUAAAGUUCUUUUCUUGAGGAAGAAGAAAGUGACGUACUCAAGGAAU
rnacentral:rRNA from 1 species